GAAUUUUCAGGAGCAAGCUGUUUAAAUUCAUCUGGCUCUUAAGCACUGCCUCCAGGAAAAGAGAAAGUCUUGAAAUCAUCCUAAAAGUAUUAUGGUCUAAAUUGCUGUGAAGCCAAUAUUCUACCUUUGCAAAGGAAAUGUCAGUGCUACUCAAAGAGAGUACAGUCUGAGGGUUUCCACAGGUGGAUGUCUAUGCCUGGGACAGUUGAAGGGAUGAGCUUUCAAAGGUGAAAGUAGAAGCCUCUUGACUCAACUUCCCACUGUAAUAUUUCCUCUCUGAACAUGAAAAUUUCCCACAGGUGACCAAACAGACAUCAUGAGAAAUGGAUUCUUUAGAAGUGACCACCUUGUUUGGGAAUUUCUCAUAUCUUCAGUCAGACCUGGUUGCACUUUGGAAGGCUCCCCCCCCCACACCCCUGCCUCCAGCAGCUAUUACAGUGCUUAUCAGAGAAAAUGAACACCAGCAAAAGAAUGAGCCCAAAGCUUGGCCUGACUUGCAAUAUAUACCAGAAGACAUGAACUCGAAGAGAGUUGUUCAAUCAAGGCAGAGCCAAGAUGAAGGUGUAAUGCCCAUCCAACAGCCCACUAAAAGUUCCUUGUUUUAAUGUUUUAAGUAAUUAUCUCCCAGAAGAGCAUAUAAUAGAAUUCAUAGGUUACAGUAUUGUGUUUAAAUCUUAGUCAAUGAAUGCAUUUAUUAAGUCUUCUGUGUUUUUUUAGCAUUUUUUUCAAGUGAGGAAAUAGCUAUCCUAUGCCUGAUCUAUGCUGUACAUUAAGAGUCUCUCUACUCCCUUUUGGGGAGACUUUAAACAAAAGCCUAACCUCAGUGUUAAGUGAUUUUCUUCCCCAGUUCCAGUGUAGUAGUGAUACAAAGAGCCAGAGAGUUUGAGAAAAAACAGCUUCCCUUUAGGUGCUAGGCUGCCCCAGGAAUGAACCCAGCUCACGUGUGUGAUCAAGAGCUAGAGGCCCUUUUUAGAGGCAGAGGGCAAGUGCCCAAGUUCCCCCCUGCCAAGAAGUUCUAUGCUGUUACAAUAAUAAAAAAGGUGAUUUUUAUUAAAAGAAGACAUUCUGUGAAGGUAUCCUGAGAGACUAAUUUCCAACCUGGGAGAACUGAAGUGUUGGAGACCUGCCAUAUUGAGGAGGAGUUAGCAAUUGGUGAGAGGUGACUCUGGCUGUGCCCUUUAAUAUGGCUGUGACGACUAAUGCACAUUGAAACAUGUAUCAAUUUCUUUGCAUUAUUUGUUACUUUUAAUACAUCAUAUGUCCAGUGCCAUUGAUGUUUG